GCGGGUGUAGCACAAUGGUAGUGUCGCAGCCUUCCAAGCUGUCUAUGGCGGUUCGAUCCCGCUCACCCGCU
rnacentral:tRNA from 1 species